AGCACCGUAAAGACGC
rnacentral:misc_RNA from 1 species